AACUUAAGUUUAAUUGGAUUACAGUCAAUUAGUUCCUGCCAAUCCGUAAUUGUUGGAAUAUGACUUAUUAGUGAUACAACUACCAUGUUCGUAGUAGGAAUUAAUUGGUAUAUUAAUUAUUACUAGCGUCUCUAGAAUAAUUGAUAUAAAUUGGGUUCCUUCAUAGUAAUGCUAUUAGAAUAUUAAAUCUAGGUCUGGCGUCUCCAGCUAGAAUUGAUAUAAAUUGGGUUCCUUCAUAGUAAUGCUAUUAGAAUAUUAAAUCUAGGUCUGGCGUCUCCAGCUAGGUUAUAUUUUAAUAAGGGAAAUAAGCAGGUCUGGCGUCUCCAGCUGUUUAUCGACACAGUAAGUAGGAAUUGGGGUACGUCCGUUGCGUUUCACGGUAUCCUAUAACUGGUUGGUUGAUAGGGAUUGAUUAAUUAUUGCGUCAAGGAUCA
rnacentral:lncRNA from 1 species